GACGACGCUGGCGGCGUGCCUAAUACAUGCAAGUAGGACGAGUUGCGAACGGGUGAGUAACGCGUGGUAACCUGCCUAUUAGAGGGGGAUAACUAUUGGAAACGAUAGCUAAUACCGCAUACUAGUAGAUGUACCUGCGGUGUAUUAGCUAGUAGGUAGGGUAAUGGCCUACCUAGGCGACGAUACAGAGCCGAUCUGAGAGGUUGAUGGGUCAAACUGGGACUGUGACACGGCCCAGACGACUACGUGAGGCAGCAGUGGGGAAUAUUGCACAAUGGGCGCAAGCCUGAUGCAGCCAUGGCGCGUGUAUGAAGAAGGCCUUCGGGUUGUAAAGUACGUUCAGCGGGGAGGCGUUACCCGCAGAAGAAGCACCGGCUAACUCCGUGCCAGCCGCCGCGGUAAUAC
rnacentral:rRNA from 1 species